UCAGAUUUGAAAUCGCAGCACCAUGCUGCGAGUUGUAGAUUGCAGGUGGGAGAGUCUGCGUAGGCCGGUGUCGAAGUCCCUUGGAACAGGGCGCCACUGAGGGUGAGAGCCCCGUGCGAUGCCACGCUCUACGUUUUGUACUCCCCCUCUAACAAGUCGAGUUGUUUGGGAAUGCAGCUCUAAGUGGGUGGUAAAUUCCAUCUAAGGCUAAAUACUGGCGAGAGACCGAUAGCGAACAAGUACUGUGAAGGAAAGAUGAAAAGCACUUUGAAAAGAGAGUGAAACAGCACGUGAAAUUGUUGAAAGGGAAGGGUAUUGGGCCCGACAUGGGAAUCGCGCACCCGCUGCUCCUUGUGGGCGGCGCUCUGGGCUUUUCCUGGGCCAGCAUCGGUUCUUGCUGCAAGAAGGAAGGGGCUGUGGAAUGUGGCUGCCGCGCUUUGCCGGGGCAGUGUUAUAGCCACUGGGCCAAAUGCUGCGUGUGGGGACCGAGGACUGCGGCCGCAAGGUCUCGGAUGCUGG
rnacentral:rRNA from 1 species